AUUUAAAUAGCUUAUAUAUUUGUUUAAAGCAUAAUAUUGAAGAUAUUAAGAAAAUACAUUAAGAUAUUUUUAAAUA
rnacentral:tRNA from 1 species